rnacentral:tRNA from 1 species
UCCCAUAUGCUCUAGUGGUCAGGAUUCCUGGCUUUCACCCAGGUGGCAUAGGUUCAAUUCCCAAUAUGGGAG